UACGUAGGAGGCGAGCGUUGUCCGGAAUUACUGGGCGUAAAGAGCGUGUAGGCGGCUAGAUAGGUCCGUUGUGAAAACUCGAGGCUCAACCUCGAGACGUCGAUGGAAACCAUCUGGCUAGAGUCCGGAAGAGGAGAGUGGAAUUCCUGGUGUAGCGGUGAAAUGCGCAGAUAUCAGGAAGAACACCCGUGGCGAAGGCGGCUCUCUGGUACGUGACUGACGCUGAGACGCGAAAGCGUGGGGAGCAAACAGG
rnacentral:rRNA from 1 species